GUCCCAGUGGCUCAGUGGUAGAGCGUUUGAUAAUAAUUGGAUCCCGUACGGAAUGUAAAUAUUGUCGAAAGCACAGGGUUCGAAUCCUUGCUGGGACU